rnacentral:rRNA from 1 species
GUGUCUGAAGCGGUGUGGACCCACCUCUUCCCAUUCCGAACAGAGAAGUGAAACACACCAGCGCCUACGAUACUUCGGCUAUCGCCGAGGGACAAUGGGUCGAUGC